rnacentral:rRNA from 1 species
CCUACGGGUGGCAGCAGUGAGGAAUAUUGGUCAAUGGACGAGAGUCUGAACCAGCCAAGUAGCGUGAAGGAUGACUGCCCUAUGGGUUGUAAACUUCUUUUAUAUGGGAGUAAAACGUUCCACGUGUGGGAUUUUGUAUGUACCACAUGAAUAAGGAUCCGCCAACUACGUGCCAGCCGCCGCGGUAAUACGGAGGAUCCGAGCGUUAUCCGGAUUUAUUGGGUUUAAAGGGAGCGUAGGUGGAUUGUUAAGUUAGUUGUGAAAGUUUGCGGCUCAACCGUAAAAUUGCAGUUGAAACUGGCAGUCUUGAGUAAAGUAGAGGUAGGCGGAAUUCGUGGUGUAGCGUUGAAAUGCU